CCACCCUCAAGCCCUGGCUGCUUGGUGUUGGGGUGCUCUACAGCUUGCUGUAGGCCCCGAAAAUCAGUGGCGGUCUCGCUGGGACCCCGAGCGUAGUAGAUUUCUCUCGCUUAGGGGCGACCGGUGGGUUUCUAGCCGUUAAAACCCUUAUAUUUUAAAGG
rnacentral:misc_RNA from 1 species